UGAUCCAGCCAUGCCGCGUGAGGGANGACAGCCUUUUGGGUUGUAAACNUCUUUUGUACAGGAAGAAACCUCUUCAUUGAUGAGUGAGCUGACGGUACUGUAAGAAUAAGCACCGGCUAACUCCGUGCCAGCAGCCGCGGUAAUACGGAGGGUGCGAGCGUUAUCCGGAUUCACUGGGUUUAAAGGGUGNGUAGGCGGGCAUUUAAGUCAGCGGUGAAAUCAAUGGGCUUAACCCAUUAAUUGCCGUUGAAACUGGGAGUCUUGAAUGAGACAGCGGCAGGCGGAAUGUUGCAUGUAGCGGUGAAAUGCAUAGAUAUGCUACGGAACUCCGAUUGCGAAGGCAGCUUGCUAUGUCUAGAUUGACGCUCAAGCACGAAAGCGUGGGUAGCGAACAGGAUUAGAUACCCUGGUAGUCCACGCCGUAAAC
rnacentral:rRNA from 1 species